UCCAAUCAUGAUUGGCCAAGUAACCAUGC
rnacentral:piRNA from 1 species